UACGGAGGGUGCUAGCGUUGUUCGGAAUUACUGGGCGUAAAGCGCGCGUAGGCGGACCUGCAAGUCGGGGGUGAAAGCCCGAGGCUCAACCUCGGAACUGCCUUCGAUACUGCGGGUCUCGAGUCCGGGAGAGGUGAGUGGAAUUCCUAGUGUAGAGGUGAAAUUCGUAGAUAUGAGGAAGAACACCAGUGGCGAAGGCGGCUCACUGGCCCGGUACUGACGCUGAGGCGCGAAAGCGUGGGGAGCAAACAGG
rnacentral:rRNA from 1 species